GCACAACUGAGUUGCUUUUAAGAGAUGAAAAAAGGGAUAUCGGUAUACAAAAAAAAUAAAUUACAUACUGUAUAUACAUAUUUAUUUAUUUAUUUAUUUAGUCUACUUGUGCGUCCAUACAUAAAUGAGUAAUUUUUUUAUAUGUUAAUUUUUUAUUAGCACUUAAAUGGGACAGCUUUACCACCAAAAUAUUUGUGGGUAUCGUAAUCAUAAAAAUAUAAGUGAAUCUAGUUACUUUUAUAUAUAUAUAUGUAUAUAUAUAUAGAAAGAGAGAGAGAGACUUAGAAGUAGCUUUUAUUUUAGUGUAACUUUUUUAUAUUUUUUUAAUUUUUUUUACUUGAAGCGAAUACACUAGCAUUUAGCUCAAUGUCUAUGAUGUCUUUUUAUGGUUAAGUGAUAAAAAGGAAAUCUCAUAAUUUAAUGAAAAAAAACAAGUUACUUACACCUAGUACUUAACUUUCAUAUACAAACUUAUGCGCACAUAUAUAUAUGUAUAUCUAUUUAUGACGCCACGUAUUUAAUGUUUUAUUUUACUCUAUUAGGGAUAUUCUCGUAUAUUAUAAACACGACUAAAAUGGCUAAUGAAGCAUUGCUAGCCAUAGUUGUUUUUAGUUAUGCCAUGAACUUAAUAUUUGUGUUUCUACAAUUUGUACAUGUAUUAUUAAAAAUAAUAAGUAUCAAUACUAUUCAGAUCGGCAAUUAUUUAGUGUUUACAAGCCCCGUUUUAACAUGUAUGCUAGAUUUAAUAUCAGCAAGAACGAAAUUAAUUUUGAAAAAAGCUUUAGUCGAUACUGGUGGCAAAAAAAAAAAAAAACAUCAACAAAGUAUGGACCAUAUAAUGUACCCAGGAGGUAACUUUUUUUUUUUUUUUUUUUUCUUUUUUUCACAAUACAUACAUGUAUACAAACAUAUAUAUGUAAAAAAAUAAGAUAAAACCAAAUAAAAUGGAGCAGAUUUAAUAGUUGUAUUGUUAU
rnacentral:lncRNA from 1 species